GGGUUGUGAGGUUAAGCGACUAAGCGUACACGGUGGAUGCCCUGGCAGUCAGAGGCGAUGAAGGACGUGCUAAUCUGCGAUAAGCGUCGGUAAGGUGAUAUGAACCGUUAUAACCGGCGAUUUCCGAAUGGGGAAACCCAGUGUGUUUCGACACACUAUCAUUAACUGAAUCCAUAGGUUAAUGAGGCGAACCGGGGGAACUGAAACAUCUAAGUACCCCGAGGAAAAGAAAUCAACCGAGAUUCCCCCAGUAGCGGCGAGCGAACGGGGAGGAGCCCAGAGCCUGAAUCAGUGUGUGUGUUAGUGGAAGCGUCUGGAAAGGCGCGCGAUACAGGGUGACAGCCCCGUACACAAAAAUGCACAUAUUGUGAGCUCGAUGAGUAGGGCGGGACACGUGGUAUCCUGUCUGAAUAUGGGGGGACCAUCCUCCAAGGCUAAAUACUCCUGACUGACCGAUAGUGAACCAGUACCGUGAGGGAAAGGCGAAAAGAACCCCGGCGAGGGGAGUGAAAAAGAACCUGAAACCGUGUACGUACAAGCAGUGGGAGCCUCUUUAUGGGGUGACUGCGUACCUUUUGUAUAAUGGGUCAGCGACUUAUAUUCUGUAGCAAGGUUAACCGAAUAGGGGAGCCGAAGGGAAACCGAGUCUUAACUGGGCGUUAAGUUGCAGGGUAUAGACCCGAAACCCGGUGAUCUAGCCAUGGGCAGGUUGAAGGUUGGGUAACACUAACUGGAGGACCGAACCGACUAAUGUUGAAAAAUUAGCGGAUGACUUGUGGCUGGGGGUGAAAGGCCAAUCAAACCGGGAGAUAGCUGGUUCUCCCCGAAAGCUAUUUAGGUAGCGCCUCGUGAAUUCAUCUCCGGGGGUAGAGCACUGUUUCGGCAAGGGGGUCAUCCCGACUUACCAACCCGAUGCAAACUGCGAAUACCGGAGAAUGUUAUCACGGGAGACACACGGCGGGUGCUAACGUCCGUCGUGAAGAGGGAAACAACCCAGACCGCCAGCUAAGGUCCCAAAGUCAUGGUUAAGUGGGAAACGAUGUGGGAAGGCCCAGACAGCCAGGAUGUUGGCUUAGAAGCAGCCAUCAUUUAAAGAAAGCGUAAUAGCUCACUGGUCGAGUCGGCCUGCGCGGAAGAUGUAACGGGGCUAAACCAUGCACCGAAGCUGCGGCAGCGACGCUUAUGCGUUGUUGGGUAGGGGAGCGUUCUGUAAGCCUGUGAAGGUGUGCUGUGAGGCAUGCUGGAGGUAUCAGAAGUGCGAAUGCUGACAUAAGUAACGAUAAAGCGGGUGAAAAGCCCGCUCGCCGGAAGACCAAGGGUUCCUGUCCAACGUUAAUCGGGGCAGGGUGAGUCGACCCCUAAGGCGAGGCCGAAAGGCGUAGUCGAUGGGAAACAGGUUAAUAUUCCUGUACUUGGUGUUACUGCGAAGGGGGGACGGAGAAGGCUAUGUUGGCCGGGCGACGGUUGUCCCGGUUUAAGCGUGUAGGCUGGUUUUCCAGGCAAAUCCGGAAAAUCAAGGCUGAGGCGUGAUGACGAGGCACUACGGUGCUGAAGCAACAAAUGCCCUGCUUCCAGGAAAAGCCUCUAAGCAUCAGGUAACAUCAAAUCGUACCCCAAACCGACACAGGUGGUCAGGUAGAGAAUACCAAGGCGCUUGAGAGAACUCGGGUGAAGGAACUAGGCAAAAUGGUGCCGUAACUUCGGGAGAAGGCACGCUGAUAUGUAGGUGAAGUCCCUCGCGGAUGGAGCUGAAAUCAGUCGAAGAUACCAGCUGGCUGCAACUGUUUAUUAAAAACACAGCACUGUGCAAACACGAAAGUGGACGUAUACGGUGUGACGCCUGCCCGGUGCCGGAAGGUUAAUUGAUGGGGUUAGCGGUAACGCGAAGCUCUUGAUCGAAGCCCCGGUAAACGGCGGCCGUAACUAUAACGGUCCUAAGGUAGCGAAAUUCCUUGUCGGGUAAGUUCCGACCUGCACGAAUGGCGUAAUGAUGGCCAGGCUGUCUCCACCCGAGACUCAGUGAAAUUGAACUCGCUGUGAAGAUGCAGUGUACCCGCGGCAAGACGGAAAGACCCCGUGAACCUUUACUAUAGCUUGACACUGAACAUUGAGCCUUGAUGUGUAGGAUAGGUGGGAGGCUUUGAAGUGUGGACGCCAGUCUGCAUGGAGCCGACCUUGAAAUACCACCCUUUAAUGUUUGAUGUUCUAACGUUGACCCGUGAUCCGGGUUGCGGACAGUGUCUGGUGGGUAGUUUGACUGGGGCGGUCUCCUCCUAAAGAGUAACGGAGGAGCACGAAGGUUGGCUAAUCCUGGUCGGACAUCAGGAGGUUAGUGCAAUGGCAUAAGCCAGCUUGACUGCGAGCGUGACGGCGCGAGCAGGUGCGAAAGCAGGUCAUAGUGAUCCGGUGGUUCUGAAUGGAAGGGCCAUCGCUCAACGGAUAAAAGGUACUCCGGGGAUAACAGGCUGAUACCGCCCAAGAGUUCAUAUCGACGGCGGUGUUUGGCACCUCGAUGUCGGCUCAUCACAUCCUGGGGCUGAAGUAGGUCCCAAGGGUAUGGCUGUUCGCCAUUUAAAGUGGUACGCGAGCUGGGUUUAGAACGUCGUGAGACAGUUCGGUCCCUAUCUGCCGUGGGCGCUGGAGAACUGAGGGGGGCUGCUCCUAGUACGAGAGGACCGGAGUGGACGCAUCACUGGUGUUCGGGUUGUCAUGCCAAUGGCACUGCCCGGUAGCUAAAUGCGGAAGAGAUAAGUGCUGAAAGCAUCUAAGCACGAAACUUGCCCCGAGAUGAGUUCUCCCUGACCCUUUAAGGGUCCUGAAGGAACGUUGAAGACGACGACGUUGAUAGGCCGGGUGUGUAAGCGCAGCGAUGCGUUGAGCUAACCGGUACUAAUGAACCGUGAGGCUUAACCUUACAACGCCGAAGGUGUUU
rnacentral:rRNA from 1 species